UACGUAGGGUGCAAGCGUUAAUCGGAAUUACUGGGCGUAAAGCGCGCGUAGGCGGUUUGCUAAGACCGAUGUGAAAUCCCCGGGCUCAACCCGGGAACUGCAUUGGUGACUGGCAAGCUAGAGUAUGGCAGAGGGGGGUAGAAUUCCACGUGUAGCAGUGAAAUGCGUAGAGAUGAGGAGGAACACCGAUGGCGAAGGCAGCCCCCUGGGCCAAUACUGACGCUCAUGCACGAAAGCGUGGGGAGCAAACAGG
rnacentral:rRNA from 1 species